AUAAUGAAGAGAAGAGUCUGGGAUCGCUGCGCAGGCUGCACUGAGAAGGAAAGAGACUGGAAGCAGGAGCCCGCUGGAAAUCACCAAAGUUGUUGGUGUGGGUCAACAGGGUGGUUUCAAUGGGAUCAGAAAUGAGAGCAGUGAAUUGGUAAAGUGUGAUGAGUUUUUCUUGAGCAACCCCACGGCAAGGUCCAAGCCCUCCUGAAUCUCCGAAAUGAAGCCCAGAUGAUGCCCAGGAGCAUCAGCGUGGUCUUCUUGUCUCCUUGUUCCUCACUCAGCAGUGUAUCCAAAUGUUGCUGAGUCUCCAAUGCAUGGGCAGGUGCAUGAGUGUCCCUCUCCAUGGAGUUAUGGUGACUUCCACGCUGCGUGAAGAUCCUCCUGACAGCCUCUCAGGUAGACGCAGUACGCUGAUGGUGAGAAAACCACAGAGCCUUGUCUCCUGGAGCUUUUGGGUCUGUGGGGAAGACAAGCAACCAAACAAGCAAUGGCCAUCAAGCGAGGCAGAUGCUGUGACAGAGGAGGCCCACCUCACUAGAGGAGGGGACAGGGAAGGCUUCCCAGAGAAGGACAACUCGAGUCCAGAGCUUCGAAGCUGCAUCUCAGCUGGCUAGGUCUAUAGGAGGCAUGGCUAAUCCAGGCUGAAGGAAAAGGCAAGAGGCACAUUCUGCUUUGAAAAAAAAUUAAAGGAAGCGUGAAGGAAGAGAGAGGAAGGGAGGUAAUGAAGAGAAGGAGAAAGGGAGAAAAGAAGGAAGGAAGCUCAUUUUGGCUAAAACAUAGAGUUAGACAGUGG
rnacentral:lncRNA from 10 species